GACAGAGGGUGCAAACGUUGUUCGGAAUUACUGGGCGUAAAGCGCGUGUAGGCGGCAAGCCAAGUCGGGUGUGAAAGCCCUGGGCUCAACCCAGGAAGUGCAUUCGAUACUGGCAAGCUAGAGUCCCGGAGAGGAUGGUGGAACUCCACGUGUAGCAGUGAAAUGCGUAGAGAUGUGGAGGAACACCGAUGGCGAAGGCAGCCCCCUGGGCCGAUACUGACGCUCAGGCACGAAAGCGUGGGGAGCAAACAGG
rnacentral:rRNA from 1 species